rnacentral:lncRNA from 1 species
GGGACCCCACGUGGGCCUGGCUGUGGCCAUGGUGUGGUGAUUUUGGGGUGUGAGCCCCGUGUGCGUCCUCACCCCGGUGCGUCGCGGCAGCCUCUGAAGUUCCCCAUGUGUGACCUUGUGCCUCCCCUCUCCUGCUGCAGAGGCAGAGUCGAAAGAUGUCCCGGAGAGUCCGAAGGAGCCCGAGAAGUCGGAUCCUGGAGAAAACCCACAGGAGCCAAACUCUUGGAAUGGGCCAGGUCUGUAAAAACCACGCCAGGAGCAGCCGGGCUGGAGGCAGCGGGGACAUCGCGCGCCCCGGCGCGGGGAGGACUCUGUCCUGCCCCGCCACGCGCUGCCGAGGCCACUUCGCACACAUCCUGGCAACCACAAGAGUGAAGCUCGAGUGGUUUGGUGAUGCUUAUCAAAACCCCAAGCAGCGAAUAGAGCCAACUAUCUCCCUGCUGGCAUCUCCGCGCGGGGGCCGGCCAGCCGUGUGGGUGCCCCGCGCCCUAUCGCGCCGCUAUCUCCAAACCUCCGCGCCGAUGGGUUUAGGGUCGGGGCUCCUCCGCAGAUUGUGGGGCUGCGGGCACGUGCCCGUUGGGGCUGGCAGCAGCACGGCGAGCCCGACGGGUGCACGUGCCACCUUUUGGGCUCCGGUGGCUGCCCCGGGCAUGCUGCGGGUGCUGCGCAGCCCCCGUGUCCCCUCGGCAGCCCCGGGGGCCGUUUUGGCAGCGGCGCGUUUCCUCCCCGCCGCACAUGACGGGAAGGGGUGACCUCGGGGCUGGAUAGCGAUCGCCCUUCACCGCUGAUCCCAGCCCGGUGAUGGGGGUGGCUGGGGGGGACACGCUGCGUCCUCGUGGGCACCCAGGCAGGCUGGGUGUUGGAGAGCCCUGGGAAGGGCCGGCGGCCAGCGCACGUGUGCCGGCAGCUGCCGAAAUCCCCACGGCGUUGGGGACAGCGAUGGGGCGCCCGGCCCCACUCCCCAUCCCGUGCCAGCCGAGGGGAAGCACACGCCGUCCCCGCUGAUAUCCCCAUCCCUUCCUGCACGGCCGGCAGGAAGGAGCUGCGAGGCUCCAGCUCCUCUUUAUCUGCUCCCCGGCCUUUUGUCCCCGUGACCGCGGGGCUCCUGCGCUGCCAUCCCCGUGGGCGCGAUGCCUCGCUGGGGACCUUCUCCCUCUCCUAAAAGCAAACCUUCCCAGCCCAUCUGUGUGGCCAAAGCGAGCUCCAGCUCCAUCCCCUUCUCCCACCUCAGGGUUUCCUAAAAGUGGGACCGUGUGGGGUCGUAGCGGGGUGCUCAGGAGGGCGCUGCCCAGCCGGACCCCUCGCCGCGGGCUCCCCAAACCGAGCGGCGCUCGGUGCGAAGCCUCCGCUCCGGCCCUGCCUCCCCCUUCCCCCCUCAACCAGCGCGGGUUAUUUGCAUUCUUUAUGUAAAAGAGAUUUUAUUAUCGCCUUCUCCCAGCCCAUCUCUAUUCUGGUAAUUGGAGUGGUAUUAAUUUCUGUGUGGCUGGGAGUUGAUGGCGGUCCGGCGAUGCUGCAGCGAUAGGGUGUUCCUUUCGCACCAACCGCCGCGAUAGCCCGUCUAUCAGGCGCUCUGCAGGCUCUGCACUUAUCAGGGAUGGAGCUGGCAAAAAGGGAAACUCUGAGCAGCCUGAAUUUUCUUUUUAUCUGGCAGGAUCCGCCGUAUGUCAGCAAUGGCAGCCGCGAAGAUGUGGCGGGGAGGGGGGGGCGGGCGCGAGGCUGCUCCCAGGCGCCUUUGUUCGCGCCCCGCGGGGU